ACGUUCGACACCUACGGGAGCAGCAGUGGGGAAUAUUGCACAAUGGGGGAAACCCUGAUGCAGCGACGCCGCGUGGAGGAAGAAGGUCUUCGGAUUGUAAACUCCUGUUGUUGGGGAAAAAGAGGAUGGUACCCAACAAGGAAGUGACGGCUAACUACGUGCCAGAAGCCGCGGUAAUCUGAGCGGGCUGGCAAGGC
rnacentral:rRNA from 1 species